rnacentral:rRNA from 1 species
GACGAACGCUGGCGGCGUGCCUAAUACAUGCAAGUAGAACGCACAGUUUAUACCGUAGCUUGCUACACCAUAGACUGUGAGUUGCGAACGGGUGAGUAACGCGUAGGUAACCUGCCUGGUAGCGGGGGAUAACUAUUGGAAACGAUAGCUAAUACCGCAUAAUAUUAAUUAUUGCAUGAUAAUUAAUUGAAAGGUGCAAUUGCACCACUACCAGAUGGACCUGCGUUGUAUUAGCUAGUAGGUGAGGUAACGGCUCACCUAGGCGACGAUACAUAGCCGACCUGAGAGGGUGAUCGGCCACACUGGGACUGAGACACGGCCCAGACUCCUACGGGAGGCAGCAGUAGGGAAUCUUCGGCAAUGGACGAAAGUCUGACCGAGCAACGCCGCGUGAGUGAAGAAGGUUUUCGGAUCGUAAAGCUCUGUUGUAAGAGAAGAACGGGUGUGAGAGUGGAAAGUUCACACUGUGACGGUAUCUUACCAGAAAGGGACGGCUAAUUACGUG